ACUUAAAUUGAAGAGUUUGAUCAUGGCUCAGAUUGAACGCUGGCGGCAGGCCUAACACAUGCAAGUCGAGCGGUAGCACAGAGAGCUUGCUCUCGGGUGACGAGCGGCGGACGGGUGAGUAAUGUCUGGGAAACUGCCUGAUGGAGGGGGAUAACUACUGGAAACGGUAGCUAAUACCGCAUAACGUCGCAAGACCAAAGUGGGGGACCUUCGGGCCUCAUGCCAUCAGAUGUGCCCAGAUGGGAUUAGCUAGUAGGUGGGGUAACGGCUCACCUAGGCGACGAUCCCUAGCUGGUCUGAGAGGAUGACCAGCCACACUGGAACUGAGACACGGUCCAGACUCCUACGGGAGGCAGCAGUGGGGAAUAUUGCACAAUGGGCGCAAGCCUGAUGCAGCCAUGCCGCGUGUGUGAAGAAGGCCUUCGGGUUGUAAAGCACUUUCAGCGGGGAGGAAGGCGGUGAGGUUAAUAACCUCAUCGAUUGACGUUACCCGCAGAAGAAGCACCGGCUAACUCCGUGCCAGCAGCCGCGGUAAUACGGAGGGUGCAAGCGUUAAUCGGAAUUACUGGGCGUAAAGCGCACGCAGGCGGUCUGUCAAGUCGGA
rnacentral:rRNA from 1 species